rnacentral:lncRNA from 1 species
AUGCUCUAGAGAAAUUUCUAGACCUACCAUAGUCUUAGCCUCAUUGUUUUAUUGAUUCAUGUGCACAUACACCCACACACAUAUGAUGCUCACCCACCCUACCAUAGUCUUAGCCUCAUUGCUUUAUUGAUUCAUGUGCACAUACACACAUACACACACACACACACAUAUGAUGCUUACCCACCCUACCAUAGUCUUAGCCUCAUUGUUUUAUUGAUUCAUGUGCACAUACACACACACACACAUAUGAUACUCACCC